rnacentral:rRNA from 1 species
GACGGAAGGUGCAAGCGUUGCUCGGAAUCACUGGGCGUAAAGGGUGCGUAGGCGGCUGUGUAAGUCUGGCGUGAAAGCCCAGGGCUCAGCCCUGGAAGUGCGCUAGAAACUGCGCGGCUGGAGUGCCGGAGGGGAGAGUGGAAUUCCUGGUGUAGCGGUGAAAUGCGUAGAUAUCAGGAGGAAUACCGGUGGCGAAGGCGGCCCUCUGGUCCAGUACUGACACUCAAGUGCGAAAGCGUGGGGAGCAAACAGG